GACGAACGCUGGCGGCGUGCUUAACACAUGCAAGUCGAACGGAAAGGCCCUGCUUUUGUGGGUUGCUCGAGUGGCGAACGGGUGAGUAACACGUGAGUAACCUGCCCUUGACUUUGGGAUAACUUCAGGAAACUGGGGCUAAUACCGGAUAUGAUCUCCUGCUGCAUGGUGGUGGAUGGAAAGUUUCGGCGGUUGGGUAUGGGGUCGCGGCUUAUCAGCUUGUUGGUGGGGUAGUGGCUGACCAAGGCUGUGACGGGUAGCCGGCCUGAGCGGGUGAACGGCCACAAUGGGAACGGGAGACGGCCGAGACUACUACGGGAGGAAGCAGUGGAGAAUAUUGCAGAAUGGGCGGGAGAGUGAUGAAGCACCGCCGCGUGCGGGAUGACGUCCUUAGGGUUGAAAAACGCUUUCGCCUGCGACGAAGCGUGAGUGACGGUAAAGGGUAAAGAAGCACCGGAUAAAUACG
rnacentral:rRNA from 1 species